rnacentral:lncRNA from 1 species
UUUGGACAAGGAAAAGACACCAAGCCUAAACAUUUAGAUGCAUUCUUAGACUCCAAAUUUUACCCACUGAAAACUAGCCACAUCAUGAUACCCUCAUUUAUCGACCAGACUUGCCAAGCAAUACCACACACUAAAUGCCCUCAAAUUCUCUACUCAUGAAAAAAAAAAAAAACUUUUUUGGAUUACAUCACCCAACUAGCGUGAAAUUUCCGACUAAUCACCCCAUCAUCCACAAAAAUCUUUUCUAUGAGGUUACUUGAUACCUAUUUUUGUGGGGUGCCAAUUGCAGACACAUUCAAAGGGAACCGUCGAGGUCCACAAACUUGAUACCUAGUACUGUACUGGUAAGUUACCAAUUCGAUACAGUACGAUUAAUAUGGUAUAGUAGACACCUCGUGGUGAUACAACUCGUAUACCAUCUAAAACCAGGUAGUACAUGUCAAUACAGUACAAUGCUCAUCCCAGUAUGGGCAGUUCCACUAAGCUUCGAUAGGUAUGGAUUGGCAUAGACCGAUAUAACUCAUAUAUCAAACCAAACCUCAAUACUGUACUGAUACCUUAUUGAUAUAGUACGGUGCAGUUGGUAUAGGUCAGUAUAAGUUCAACAAUAGAAGAGUUGCCUCAUGCAACACUAAUCUCCCAACAACUAUCUACCAACCAAAAGAUAAAUAAUGGUCCUCUCAAGGAAAUUAAAAAAGAAAUAUUUUAAAAAAA